GACGAACGCUGGCGGCGUGCCUAACACAUGCAAGUCGAGCGAGUGGAGUUCUUCGGAACAAAGCUAGCGGCGGACGGGUGAGUAACACGUGGGCAACCUGCCUCAUAGAGGGGAAUAGCCUCCCGAAAGGGAGAUUAAUACCGCAUAAGAUUGUAGCUUCGCAUGAAGUAGCAAUUAAAGGAGCAAUCCGCUAUGAGAUGGGCCCGCGGCGCAUUAGCUAGUUGGUGAGGUAACGGCUCACCAAGGCGACGAUGCGUAGCCGACCUGAGAGGUGAUCGGCCACAUUGGGACUGAGACACGGCCCAGACUCCUACGGGAGGCAGCAGUGGGGAAUAUUGCACAAUGGGGGAAACCCUGAUGCAGCAACGCCGCGUGAGUGAUGACGGCCUC
rnacentral:rRNA from 1 species